UACGUAGGGACCAAGCGUUGUUCGGAUUUAUUGGGCGUAAAGAGCGUGUAGGCGGCUUUACAGGUCCGUUGUGAAAACUCGAGGCUCAACCUCGAGACGCCGGUGGAAACCGUAAAGCUAGAGUCCGGAAGAGGAGAGUGGAAUUCCUGGUGUAGCGGUGAAAUGCGCAGAUAUCAGGAGGAACACCCGUGGCGAAAGCGGCUCUCUGGGACGGUACUGACGCUGAGACGCGAAAGCGUGGGGAGCAAACAGG
rnacentral:rRNA from 1 species